rnacentral:lncRNA from 1 species
GAGCCAUUCAAUGACUUUCUCAGUAAUGUAAGUGGCAGAUCUAGAACUUAAAUCAGAUGUUUUUGUUCAAGUGAAAGAUGUUGAAUGUCAGGCUAGAAUUCUCCCAUAAAGACCAUUUGCACAUCAACUAUUUGGCUACCUGAAAAGGAGCUUUUCAGCCACUGAGAAUUCAGAGCCUUUAAUGAUUCUGGAGACCUCUUAGGAGAUAUGACUGUAUGUGGCACUGCUGGAGACACCUCUUGAAGGGUGUGGGGACUAUCCCUAGCUUUGUGACUGAAGACUUGCCAGGUCCUGGAAGCAUCUGGGAAGUGUUUUGGUUGAGGAGAGUUGAAUGUUUGAAGAAGAAAAUAUCAGAGUGACAUUCCUGCUGCUGGCUCCCCUCUGAUGUACCGCCCUUGUGCUUUCUCCUACUGCACUUGCGAUCCAGCAGCCUACAAAGAACAUGUGCUUUCGAAUGAAAGCCCUGCUCCAGCACUCACUAGCUAGUUAACCUUAGGAGUAUUAUUUCAAAGCUCUUGGAGCCUCGGUUUUCCUCAUCUGUUAAAAUGGGACCAUAAAUACUUAACUCA